GAUGAACGCUGGCGGCGUGCCUAAUACAUGCAAGUCGAGCGAACAGACGAGGAGCUUGCUCCUCUGACGUUAGCGGCGGACGGGUGAGUAACACGUGGAUAACCUACCUAUAAGACUGGGAUAACUUCGGGAAACCGGAGCUAAUACCGGAUAAUAUAUUGAACCGCAUGGUUCAAUAGUGAAAGACGGUUUUGCUGUCACUUAUAGAUGGAUCCGCGCCGCAUUAGCUAGUUGGUAAGGUAACGGCUUACCAAGGCGACGAUGCGUAGCCGACCUGAGAGGGUGAUAGGCCACACUGGAACUGAGACACGGUCCAGACUCCUACGGGAGGCAGCAGUAGGGAAUCUUCCGCAAUGGGCGAAAGCAUGACGGAGCAACGCCGCGUGAGUGAUGAAGGUCUUCGGAUCGUAAAACUCUGUUAUUAGGGAAGAACAAAUGUGUAAGUAACUAUGCACGUCUUGACGGUACCUAAUCAGAAAGCAACGGCUAACUACGUG
rnacentral:rRNA from 1 species